rnacentral:rRNA from 1 species
AGAAUCAACGCUGGCGGCGUGCCUAACACAUGCAAGUCGAACGCGAAAGUCCCGCAAGGGAUAAGUAGAGUGGCAAACGGGUGAGUAACACGUGGGUGACCUGCCUUCGAGCGGGGGAUAACGCCCCGAAAGGGACGCUAAUACCGCAUGACAUCCUGCCUUUGAAGAGGCGGUGAUCAAAGCCGGGGACCGUAAGGCCUGGCACUUGAAGAGGGGCCCGCGCCUGAUUAGCUAGUUGGUGGGGUAAUGGCUCACCAAGGCAACGAUCAGUA